rnacentral:misc_RNA from 1 species
UUUCUGUAGGUGAACCUGCAGAAGGAUCAUUAGUGAAGAUUUGGGCAGGCCAUACGGACGCCAAAAAGUGUCCCUGGCCGCCUACACCCACUAUACAUCCACAAACCCGUGUGCACUGUCUUGGAGAAAGGCUUCAGAGAAGUUUUUUGUGGCCUCUCUCUUGGGGUCUUUCUUCGCUACAAACUCGAAUGGUUAGUAUGAACGUGGAACUUGGUUGGACCGUCACUGGCCAACAAACUAUACACAACUUUCGACAACGGAUCUCUUGGUUCUCCCAUCGAUGAAGAACGCAGC